UGCCAGCAGCCGCGGUAACACGUAAGGGGCAAGCGUUGUUCGGAAUGACUGGGCGUAAAGCGCACGUAGGCGGGUUCGUAAGUCGAAUGUGAAAGCCCUGGGCUCAACCUGGGAACUGCAUUUGAAACUGCGAGUCUUGAAUGUCUGAGAGGUUAGUGGAAUUCCAGGUGUAGGAGUGAAAUCCGUAGAUAUCUGGAGGAACACCAGAGGCGAAGGCGGCUAACUGGCAGUACAUUGACGCUGAGGUGCGAAAGCGUGGGUAGCAAACAGGAUUAGAUA
rnacentral:rRNA from 1 species